UUUGGUAGGAGGCAAAAAUAUGACGCGGAUAUUGUUCUGACAACCAAAAAGAACAAAAUCCAGCCCUUUUACAGACGAUGCUUAUAUCGACACGUUGUCUUUAAUCGACUUAAUCGCUGAACAAUGAUUGCAUUAAUGAAUACGGACUUGGCCUAAUAAGGGAAAUGCGGGGAUUGGAAGAAUACUUCUGCGUAAUCCAUGCAUGAAUAGGAUUGUACAGCGGCUGCGCUCUCAUUCCGCUCUCCACAGCUAUGCCGCUGACAGAUGAGCUCGGGGCCGGUAGGACGGAGGGCGAGCCGAAGGGUCAGACCGGAAGGACGGACGUAUACGUGAGGAAAGAGCCAUGCAGAUUUGAAAAAAGGCAACUGAACAUCGCUGUGGUCUGGGAAAACCAUUAAGAGAUCCUAGGUCCUGGGGAGCCCUUUUCCUGAACGUCCCAGUGGUCAGUCGUCACCUUCUCAAGACUUCCCAUGCUGUUCAAACAAAUGGACAGCCUC